AGAUCGCGACCUGCGACGUCACGCCCUGCCACGUCACGUCCCGCCGCCCGCCCCGCGCUUACUUACUAUCGCGACGAGCGUGCUAUGGUGAGUACGGUGACUAUUAGUCGUCAUUCGAGCGACGUGGCUGGUUGCGUCCUUGCGUCUCGGAGGCGAGAGUUAAACCGUUCUAUGCUAUUACCCCUCGCAACGAGUAUUACCGAGCGCGAUGCACGGCUCCGCACGGACGAUUAGAGAUUGCCAACGCUUAUACGUACGUAGUGCUCGCUCUAUGAGAGAAUCUAUCGUCGUCGGAGGUAAACGUAUCUCUCUCUCUCUCCCUCUCGAACGCGUUACCAAAGGGAAACGUCUCUCGUGCUCACCUCACUCCAGAAGGAACUUCUAAAGGCCGUAUCACGUAACUUGCGAAGUCGUAUCAUGUUCCUCCUACACCCUCUCGUCAUCGGCUCAGGCGGAAACGGACGGAAAGGAAGUGAAAGAGAGGCGACCGCGCCGCGCUUUGCCCGUGGCGAAUAAAUUAACUACGUUGCAAAUGUGCCGAGUCACUCGCGUCGCGGACGACGGUUGUUUGUCGAGCAGAUAUAUAUAUUUUACUUGCAUCGGUUUGCUCUCGUUUGACCGUUUGCUCGGAAACCACCGACGCGGAGCCGACAGCGGGCUAUAUAAUUAUCGCAUUAUUUCACUUUGAUAUUUACGCGCGAGAAUUGUUUCUUCGAUGAUCGGAUGUGUCUCGCGCGUUAACGCUUUCGCCGGGCUCGUCGAUUCAAUGUAAUUCGCCGUGCACCUUUGAACGCGAGAGCCGCGGGCUAAUGUGCUCAUAUUUCAGUGUUUCAGUCGCGAGAGAAAAACUGCGAUACGCCGUUUAUUAAUAACACACGCGUAUCACGGGGUAAAAUCCGUUCGGGGUAAUAUCGCGCGCUAAUUUUGCUUGCACAUUUAUCGCGCCUUGAGCAUCUUAAUCGAUCCCCGGGAGCCACUUUGAUCAAUUCCGAUUAAUUUUGAUCGACGAUUAAUACCGUAGGUACACGUGGUUAGACGAUUUGUGUUAUAUUUAAACAUAUAUAUCGCGUAUCUCGGGUUUUAACAUAAAUGCAAAAUAUUUUCUACCGUACGUACCUUGCCGGACAAUGGACUCGUCCACUCGGUGCCCCUCGCGUGAUAAGAAGGACGUACACUUAUCGAUCUAGCGAUUACUUCGCGAUCGAUAAUCGGGGUCGAUAAAUAUCCCCGGUCAGCCGCUGCCAGUUGAUGGCGCCAGGGCUACUUUUUUACGUUCCUCUUACCCCGCGAGGGGUGCCAAGGAACGAAUCGUCGUCGGGCGGUGUACAGUGUUGUUGGCACAACUUGCAAACCAUAAAAUAUAUCCGAUAUUAUGGAAUGAUACCACAAGACGGCGUCAAAACAAACCGUUCUAAUUUCUUUUUGCUGGCAACUUCGUCGCGGCUGAUUAAAGGUAAUCGGGAUCUAUCGAAGUUAAUUCGGUUUCGUCAGUAGCCUCCACCUUCCACGGAUCGCGGGAUAUCGGAGUGAAGCUUGCAGAGCGCUCGUCCUCCGUUUGUCCGAUUAUCAAGUGUCGAUACGACUCGCGUGGCGUCGUCGCGACGAUAAGCUGCACGCUCGUAAAUCGCAAUAAACGCUGUGUUUUAAGCUUCGUGUGUGCGCGGUCUUUCUCCUCUCUCGUAUUAUAGUCUUCCGUCGUAAAGUGAUAAAGUGCACGUCGCGUGCGAUUAAUGUCGGGAGUGCCGUGUAAAGUACACGUGGCGAUCGUUGUAUACUGCCGAUUAGUGCGCGCGCGUAAUUAACCUUAUUUUCGUGAGUGUUGUGCGACUACCGGGAGGAAGUAGCAAUGGGGGAACCUGUAAACUUGAGAAGAGGCGGAGGCCUGGCAGGCAUCGGGCGACGGCGGAGCAACUUUGAGAUUGAGAUGCAGUUACAACUCCGCUGCUGCGCAUCGUAUUGGUCAGUCACAUAUCUUCUAUUUUAAACUACAAUUCCAAAUUUAUUAUCGAAAUUAUUGAAAAAAAAGAGAGAAGAGUAGGAAUAGUAGGAAUAGUAGAAAUAAUUUUUAUAACAUAUCUACGUUAAAUUUAUUUUAUAAAAGCAUUUUAUGAUAAAAAAGCAAAAAUGAUAAGAAGUAACAAGGCAAAAUAGAGGGUAGGUUCUUUGUAAUAUAUACGUAUAUAUACACAAUAUGUUGAGUGUCUAUGUAUUAUAUCUUUGCCGAUAUUCUUAUCCAUAUUAUCGCUCAGCAAUUUUACUUUAGAUAUCUGUAGUUGUUUAAAAAUCUUUAAGACAUUUAGAUCGGUAAAAUUCGGGAAGCAAGAACAGAUCGUUUUGUAUGGCUGGUAAGAAGUACGACAAUGACACCAAGGCAUCCUCACGUCUUUUUGCUCGUUCUGUUCUCCGUAGCUUUUUUCUUUCAAUCUCUUACUCGCCAUCGCCAGCAGUUUUGUUCCCUUUGGCUCCUUCAACUAUCGGUAGUGUAUUCAUCUUCCAACUCAUUCCUUUCUGUUCUCUCUUUUUUUUCGUUGCUACAGAUAUGUUAAUCACGUCGACCGGCCGUUAUUCUCGCCGGAAUUAAGACCGUUUCUGAUUCUAUAUAAUGCGUUUCGACUACAAAAGAACUCAUAUAAUCCAGGUCAUCUUUGUCGAUUAUUUAAUGGGAGAAAUAUGCAAGAAGCGCGUAUAUUUUCAUAAUAUUCAUCACAGCUUUGGUAUUUUGCAAUUAUUUUGAAUUUUUUAUUAUCCAAAUUAAUAUUGUACAUUAGAUUCGACUAAUCGAAUAAUAUUAAUACAAUGUAUAUUUUCUAUUAUUUGUUAUUUUAUAUUUUUGCAAUUUAUUAAUGAAAUUAUAGUUUACUUAUAGUUUAUAUUAUUUAUCAUAUUAUAAUACACAAAAAGAAAUACGUAUUCACAAGAAAAGCUAUAACGUGCGAUUACUGAUUCUUCUUAUGAUAUUUUAACAAUUUUAAAAAAUUUAUUUUAAGAAUUUAUUUUAAAUUUCUAAAGAUUAUUCUGUAUAAGAAAUAAUUUUAAUAUGCAAUAGAGUUAAUUUUUUGUAAAUUGAUGAGAUAGAUUUCUGUAAUGGUGUAUGUAAAUGCAAGUUUUAAUCUGGUUAAUGCUUUACUCAGUAAUACCUUACGCAAUUUACUUAAUUAAGUGAAACUUGCAAGACUUUUGUGAUUUACAAACAUACGAAACGCAAAAAUAUAAGCAUAAGAUUAAUAAUUUUGCUAUUUCUUAUAAAAUAUUAAUAUUCUUUAAAAAUGUAUAUUAUAUUAUUUUCAAGAAUUGUACUUAUUAUUUAUACUUUAUUUUAUAACUCAAUGUUACACGAUUAAUUUAACAAUGUUGUAUUCUAUAUUUAAAGAAAACGAUACACGAUACACGAUUCUAUUUUGCGUUGUGGAAAACGUUAGUUGAAACGUUGGACAGAUAAAUGUCUCGGUCCGGUUCUUUAAUCCUUCCGUGUUCAUCUGUCUAAUGGACGCCAUCGCAUUGAGGAGAAAUAAAUUACGCGUCGCAUAAGUACAAUUCUAAAUCAUUAUAUCUUCUUUUCUGCGUCAUCAUCUCUCAGCCUUAAUGGUUGCCCACUUAGCAUUACGCGUGCUUGUGUCAGAAUUUCGUACCGUGAAUCCGGGGAAAUUUGGAGAAACAUGAAACAGGUCGACGUCUAGAAGGGCGACGACAACGACGUCGAGGGUUCUCUUCUAUUCUUCCUUUUCCACCUUCUCUCACUUUCUCUUUUCCGCGUUCUCCUGCCAUUCUCUUUCCGCCCGUUUUCUUUUCCGGUCUCUUUCACCUCCAAUUCUCUUCGUCUUUCAUUUUUCGUCACCGGCACUACUCGUUCACCCCGCGAUGGUUCGCAACGGAUAAUAAGCUCUUCUCAGGGGUCGUCCGACUUUCCGCGGGCGUGCCUGUAGCAGAAAUAAGACACGACUUCUUCGUACCGUGGGGCAAUUGCUUUUACUUCUAGCCUCCCACGAGAAUUCCGCGAGUCUCUCCGUGGCUCUUUGCCAGCCCGUGUGAGCGAGCUCAGGCGUAUUCGCUUUGCACGUAUACAGCCGCGAAUUCGCGACGGCAGUGUGGAUGUAAUAAGCGCAGUAUAAAUGAAAUCUCAUCGUCGAAGUUAGAUUUAAAACAUGAACAUGUCGAAUUCUGUUCCCGAUAGACCUUUCACUUAUCGAAUAUAUUGUUUUGCCGUUUUGAAAACAUAAAGCUUUCGAUGCCGCGGGAGAGAAAUGUGUUAUGUAAUGUGAGAGAUUUGACUAAAUCUGAAAUACAUUGACUAUUUCAUCUGGAAUUAUAUCUGGGUUAUAUCUAGAAGAAGCAUAUCUGGAAGAAAUGAGCUUUUGUAACUUAAAAGGGGUAAGAAUUGAAGAUUAAUAUAGAACGGAAAACUUUUAUUUCUUUAUAUUAAAUUUCUUCAUUCUUGUUUAAAAGCACGAUUUUGUAAUGAGAAUUUACUUUUUGUACAAUUUUUAAUUUGGCUUUCUAAUUAUGAUUAUGCAAAUUACACUAAGUAAUUUGCAAGGUUUUAUGCAAGAGCAUAUGAAGAGACUGUUUCUGAGGGUAAUUUUCGACGCUGAAUUUACAUUAAAUCAGCUUUUUGAGACAUAAGACAUUUUGUGUAUAUAUAUAUAUAUAUAUAUAGUAAAGUUUGAAUAAAAUUAGAAAACAAAUCAGAAACGUUGAGCAUUUAAUUUGCGUUUGUUAUAUAAAAAAGUAAUAUAAAUUUCAGCGAUUCUGUGAUUAUACGGCCCUUCUUUCUAAUAACGCAAUUACACAAAUAGUAGAAAUAGUUUGAACUAGUUUUACAUUAUCUUUUAUCUUUUUAUGCUUUAAUAUAAAUUAAACAACAGCUCUGCGCGAUAAUUUUGUAAUUAAAUGACGAUACAUUCGCAAUGUUCUAUAUUUUAAAAUAUCUAGAAUUUUUGGGGGGGGGGCAGAUUUGAAUUUUUUGGCUUCAAAAUACGGUAAAAAGGGUUGUUGCCUUUUCUUGCACGAAAAUUCAGGUAAAAAUUUGUAAACCAAUGUUAUUAUUCGCAAAUGCAAAGAUUGCGCUGUUCGUGCGUUUCCCCUAUUUCGAUCUCCUGUUUUCUCACGCGAUUUCUCAUCUAUAUGAUUAUGACUACAAGCCGGAGGGGACUGCGUUAUCUCCGACAAAAGGAAACCAUCUUGGUAUCUACAUUCUCGGGAUUGCGUCUUGCAUGAGUUUGGCCGUUUUUCGGGCCGUUUCAGAUUCGCAACUCAGAUCGAGUUGCCUUACAUGACAAUGUUACAUGACAAUCCUACGACAAUACUCUAGUCUCUAAGGACACGCUUGCGACAUCCAUAUGAACUUUGAACUUCUCUUAGUGCAACGACGCCUGGGCAUAACCCGGAAUCGAUCGUCGAAAGAACACCGACCCAAUUCGCUUCGUUGACGCUCCCCUGUAAGCAGCUCUAGCGGACGUCGUCUUGGGAAAUGGGCCUCUUUCGCAAGACGAGAUACUUUUGCGGUCGAUUCCUAUUCCGGCACAUGAACAGAUAGGGUGGGACGGUAUGUCCGCCGUGGUAUCGCAUUUUCUUUCCUUCUUCCCUAUUUUUUUCCGAUAGCUUUCUUUAAAAUGCUCGUUAUACUGUGAAAAGGAUCGUACUUAUGUAGAUCGCUCUGUGGAGUAAUAAGACGCUUAUCACCCUUGUCAUUCAGAAUAGGAAAAGUGUUUUGAAGAAGGCAAUACCAAGAGCUAGCUACAACUGAUAUUUGCGAUUUUUAUAAUAAUUCACAUUGAGUAUAAAAUUGAUAGUUGUCACAUAGAUAGGCAAAAACUCGGGAAUUGAAAAUUGAUCAAAUGUGAUGAAGUGAAAAGUGAAGUUUAAAUAUUGAAUUUUGGAAUAAAAUUAAGCAAUCGUAAAAAAUCUUAAAUCAAAUUUGUUGAUUGUUAAUUGAGUAGUUGUUGAUUAUUGUUCACUAAUUGAUUGCUAGAUUUCAAGAUUUUCCAUUGUAUUUAAUUUCUAAUCGCAUGAUGAAUAGUUUAGAUGACGGAAAAAAACAGAGGAGAUAAUGAUUUUCACGUUAUAGUACAAAAUCAUUACUCUCUUAUACGAGACGCUGCUUAUAUAUCAGUGUAUGCUGCUCGGUUCUGAAACAUUUGUGCUCCUUUUAGUAGGACACGAUGAUAACCAACAUUUGACUCGUUGAAUAUUUCCGUCACGUGCACCGCGAAUAACACGUCCGGCACCGUCCAA